GUCUGCUCUCAUGGCCUCCGCAUUGCUCGCCGAGCAGGAAAUAUGUCCACUUGGGGCGAGCGAAGACGACGACGAUUUAGGGCAUCUACUGAUUGCGGAACAAGAUUUGUUUCGUGAGCAUCUGCCUCACUUGGGCACCACGACUUGCUUCUGUAAUUCUUCGACUAUGUUCUCUUAAUCUGAUGCCAGCAUACUUUUGCAGGAUCACUUUCGCCAGUGAAAUUAUGUGAUCAGGCUCCUCUGCAUAGUGCUGGCACAGUGGUAGCUUGUCACCGUGUGUUAGGAUGAAGUGGUUAAACGAUUUCAAAACGAUCACCCGCACUACAAGCUUCACAGACCUCAAUUUCUCGAGACGAAAGGUCUGGUCUGCUCAGCGCAACACAGGAGACGUGUAACAAAGGAGGAUGGUUUAACCAGCCCUGCAUUGUCCCUGAGCAUGAUGAGAACACUUGAUGUCUCGUCAUCUAGGAGUGUGUCCAAACAACCAUUACAGGCGCGACAUUCGCAGAGCUUGGGGCCUGAACUUCAGCGUGUAUCAGAAGCUUCCUGUAGGCAUGACGGAAUUGGGAAGCUGAUGGGUUGUUAUUCCAUCCUCCUCUUUGCCUGAUGCAGCUGAAGAACAGUUCCAAGUGGUCAUGGCUGAGGCGACCUCUACAUGUUACCUGCAUGCGCCCGCCUGGAACAGCGCUUCUGCCAGCUGUGCAACACUUUUUAGCGUAAAGGCCACGCUGAUGACUGACAUGCGUCUCCCAUGCUGAGCAGCUAGCUCCCCGGAUGGAAGUCGCAGUGUCAUCAUUCUUGACGACAAUCUUUAGUGGCCACAGUCAUGAAACUGAAAGGCCUACUCAUCUACGUCGGCAAUGAACGAAGCGGUUGCGUCACUUCCUUCAAAUUCGGUCAAUCCCAGGAGCCGUGCGUGGGUCAGGGCUUUGCUCACGGAUGAACUUAGAGUCUGCGCUGCAAGGCGGACCUUCAUGAUCUGGCGGCCAAACUCAAUAUGGGAUCUGGGUCAGUUGCAGCCGUCGACGGACACCACGCAGCAGCAGAAGAACCUGACAGCAGAAAGCAGCAGGAAUAAGAAAUGACAUACAGACAUAUACUCACUGCUUUCCGCUUUUGUGGCAGCUUACAGUAGGGAUGGUCCUCAUGGUCAAACAGGCAGUGGAACAGCUGGAGAAGGGACGGCGGGCUCUGCUUGCUCAGCACUGGCUUCAAGCAUUUCCUGGAAAACAUGGAGUGAAGGCAGUCAUGCAGGGGGGUGGCUGCACAAACUACUAUAUGUACUUACCAGGGAAACUGUGUCAGCACCACUUUCAUCUUUCAUCUGGCUGGCUGGCUGUUACUUGGCUCUAAAAAAGUUCUUCCAUUAUUAUCUCCUUUUGUAUCAUUUUAAAAGUAAUAAAGAAUAACCGGAUA